rnacentral:snRNA from 1 species
GUGCUCACUUCAGCAUCACAUAUACUAAAAUUAGAACAAUACAGGGAUUCGUAUGGUCCAUGAGCAAGGAUGGCAUGCAACUUUGUGAAGCAUUCCAUAUUAAA